AGCAGCCGCGGUAAUACGAAGGGACCUAGCGUAGUUCGGAAUUACUGGGCUUAAAGAGUUCGUAGGUGGUUGAAAAAGUUGGUGGUGAAAUCCCAGAGCUUAACUCUGGAACUGCCAUCAAAACUUUUCAGCUAGAGUAUGAUAGAGGAAAGCAGAAUUUCUAGUGUAGAGGUGAAAUUCGUAGAUAUUAGAAAGAAUACCAAUUGCGAAGGCAGCUUUCUGGAUCAUUACUGACACUGAGGAACGAAAGCAUGGGUAGCGAAGAGGAUUAGAUACCCUCGUAGUCCAUGCCGUAAACGAUGUGUGUUAGACGUUGGAAAUUUAUUUUCAGUGUCGCAGCGAAAGCGAUAAACACACCGCCUGGGGAGUACGACCGCAAGGUUAAAACUCAAAUGAAUUGACGGGGACCCGCACAAGUAGUGGAGCAUGUGGUUUAAUUCGAAGAUACGCGCAGAACCUUACCAACACUUGACAUGUUCGUCGCGACUUUAAGAGAUUAAAGUUUUCGGUUCGGCCGGACGAAACACAGGUGCUGCAUGGCUGUCGUCAGCUCGUGUCGUGAGAUGUUGGGUUAGGUCCCGCAACGAGCGCAACCCUCACUUUUAGUUGCCAUCAUUAAGUUGGGCACUCUGAAAGAACUGCCAGUGAUAAGCUGGAGGAAGGUGGGGAUGACGUCAAGUCCUCAUGGCCCUUACGUGUUGGGCUACACACGUGCUACAAUGGUAUCUACAACAGGAAGCAAGACGGCGACGUUAAGCAAAUCCUUAAAAGAUACCUCAGUUCGGAUUGCACUCUGCAACUCGAGUGCAUGAAGCUGGAAUUACUAGUAAUCGUGGAUCAGCGUGCCACGGUGAAUGCGUUCCCGGGUCUUGUACACACCGCCCGUCACACCAUGGGAGUUGGUUCUACCUUAAGGCAAGGUUUUAAACCCUUGACCACGGUAUAGUCAGCGACUGGGGUGAAGUCGUAACAAGGUAACCG
rnacentral:rRNA from 1 species